rnacentral:rRNA from 1 species
CCUAACACAUGCAAGUCGAACGGUAACAGGAAGCAGCUUGCUGCUUCGCUGACGAGUGGCGGACGGGUGAGUAAUGUCUGGGAAACUGCCUGAUGGAGGGGGAUAACUACUGGAAACGGUAGCUAAUACCGCAUAACGUCGCAAGACCAAAGAGGGGGACCUUCGGGCCUCUUGCCAUCGGAUGUGCCCAGAUGGGAUUAGCUAGUAGGUGGGGUAACGGCUCACCUAGGCGACGAUCCCUAGCUGGUCUGAGAGGAUGACCAGCCACACUGGAACUGAGACACGGUCCAGACUCCUACGGGAGGCAGCAGUGGGGAAUAUUGCACAAUGGGCGCAAGCCUGAUGCAGCCAUGCCGCGUGUAUGAAGAAGGCCUUCGGGUUGUAAAGUACUUUCAGCGGGGAGGAAGGCGAUAAGGUUAAUAACCUUGUCGAUUGACGUUACCCGCAGAAGAAGCACCGGCUAACUCCGUGCCAGCAGCCGCGGUAAUACGGAGGGUGCAAGCGUUAAUCGGAAUUACUGGGCGUAAAGCGCACGCAGGCGGUCUGUCAAGUCGGAUGUGAAAUCCCCGGGCUCAACCUGGGAACUGCAUUCGAAACUGGCAGGCUAGAGUCUUGUAGAGGGGGGUAGAAUUCCAGGUGUAGCGGUGAAAUGCGUAGAGAUCUGGAGGAAUACCGGUGGCGAAGGCGGGCCCCCUGGACAAAGACUGACGC